rnacentral:rRNA from 1 species
GACGAACGCUGGCGGCGCGCUUAACACAUGCAAGUCGAACGGAAAGGCCUGCUUUCCCUUGUGGAUUGCGGGUACUCGAGUGGCGAACGGGUGAGUAACACGUGAGUGAUCUGCCCCCAACUUGGGUAUAAGCCUGGGAAACUGGGUCUAAUUCCCGAUAGGACUGCAGGGUGGUGCCUGUGGUGGAAAACGAUUUUCUAGUGGUUGGGGAUGAGCUCGCGGCCUAUCAGCUUGUUGGUGGGGUAAUGGCCUACCAAGGCGGCGACGGGUAGCCGGCCUGGGAGGGUGGACCGCCACAUUGGGACUGAGAUACGGCCCAGACUCCUACGGGAGGCAGCAGUGGGGAAUAUUGCACAAUGGGCGGAAGCCUGAGGCAGCGACGCCGCGUGGGGGAUGACGGCCUUCGGGUUGUAAACUCCUUUCGACCGCGAGGAAGCCACCUGGUUGGAAGGGUGGUGACGGUAGUGGUAGAAGAAGCACCGGCUAACUACGUG